ACCUGGGCCGAAGUCGGACGCUCAACCGACUGAGCCACCCAGGCGCCCCAAGAUGGCCUUCCUUAAAAAUGGAAGAAAACUCAUCAUCUCUGAGGCAUUAAAUUUGGCUACAGAUCUUUGGGGAAUCUCCACUAUUUCCAUGAAAUAAUGGGUCAUCAAAUCCCUCACCACCAGUGUAUCAGUUAUGUAUUGCUGUAUAACAAAUCAUGCCAAAACUUAGUGGCUUAAAACAACAGCUGUCUUUAUUUGCUCGUCAUUUUGUAGGGCAGUAAUUUGGGAUGAGCCUAGCUGGGCAGUUCUACUGGUAUCAUCUAGAGUCACUCACGAGGCUUGCUUAUCUGGAGGCUUGAAUGGGGCUGGAUAGUCCAAGGUGGCUUCACUCACUUACCUCACUUACCUGCCAUUGGGCCUCUUUCUCCAUGGCCCUUUAAGCAGGAGAGCCAGGCUUCCUCAUAUGGCAUCACCGUGUUCCAAGAAGCAUCUUGAGGCCUGGACUUGAAAGUUUCGCUGUGUCACAUCACUGCAUUCUACUACUUAAAGCAAGUCACAGGUCAGCCAAGACUCAAGGGCAGGGCGAAUAGACUGUAUUUAUUUCUAUAGGAAGAAUGUCAAAGUCAUGAGCACACAGAAAUAAGGUUAUUGUAGCCAUAUUUGCAAAUAAUGUACCAUGCUUGGAACCUAGCUUCAUCAAAACAAACAAAUCAAAAAAUAUCCAAGCAUUUGUAACCAAUUUCCAGCCAUGGAAAAAGUUGAAUGACAUGGUAUUAUAAAGUUCCUGUGAGAAAUUAGUAGUCAAAAAAACAACCCUUAACAUUUCUGUAAUUCACAGGAUAGUUAUGAAUAAUGCAUAGCCAAAAGAAUAUAGGAUUGAAUAAAAGGGGGGUUGGAUUACAGAUCAAGUCUUGUUACCAGCUUUCUCUGUUAAUUGUUCGAAACACCUAACACUCGAGCCUCAGUUUCCCUAUGGAUCAAAUAAGGAAACCUACAGACCACACACUGUUCAUGAGAAAGAGCUCUGUGAGCUGUAAAAAUGCGAUAUAAAUGAAAAGUCAUUAAAAAGAAAUCAAAUCAUGAAAUCUUGUCUUUCUCCUCUCCUCUGGUUACGUGGUUUCAAACAAGGAGUGAUCUCAGGCUUAUGUUGCUACAAAAAAUCUGUUUUUACAAAAAUUUUCUUUCAUUUAAAUGCUUUUUGAUGAUUUGCCAGUGAAUGUAGUGCAAUCUAUGGUCUUUCUAAGUGCACAAAAAUGUGUGAAAUUAAAACACCCAAGAAGAGAAUAAUUGGAUGUAUCCAUUUGGGGAAAAAAGGAAAUUGUGUGGUAAAGAAAAUGAGCUUAAAAGCAUACGAGAGACUGUGUCUUUUAGACUGUGUAAGAAUAAUUAGAUGAGAUUCCUCUGUGUGGACAGUUUUAAGAGAAAAUGAUUUGAAAUGGUAGCCUGUGUGCCAAGCUAGGUAUGAGAGUUGAACACACAGUUAACUUUGAAGAAGUAAAAGAAAAAAACUUCUCUACAAAGCAACAACUAAUUUCCUUGGGGAAUGGGUCGUGAUGAAUAUAAAAACACCAGGCUUUAGUGUUUCUAGAGAAAAAGGUGAUACGGACAGGAUCAGUGAGGGCUUGGAAGAGGCUUGUGAGGUCCCCUCAGCAAAUAUGGGAGAAUGUGAAUACAUUCUCCAGAGUUUCAUAACCUCCAUUUGUCCCUUACUCUAUGUGUGAUGCGCUUCGCCACACCAUGUUUUUCCUCCUGACUCCAGCACGCUUCCAUGCAUCCCUGGCAGCCAGUAUUCUGCCUCAAGCACACGUGACAUCUGUGGGUGCCAUGUUCUCAGUGUCUAUGCAUGCCCAGAAAUGUGGGGAAGGUUAUCACUCUCUAGGGCCAUCUUUAAUUACUGGGCAAUAGGGAUUGGUGGAAAAAGGAAUGCCUCAGCCUCCCUGUGUUCUAGUGCAGGGCUUGACAAACUUUGGCCAAAUCCUUCCCGUCUGUUUUUAUAAAUAAAGAUUUAUUAGAGCACAGCUGUGCCCGUUAAUUUACGUAUUGUCUAUGGCUGCUUUUAUGCUGCAGUGGCAGAGUUGAGUAGUUAUGACAGGGACUGCAUGGCCUACAAAGAGAAAAAUAUGUAACAUCUGACCCUUUACACAACAUAUUAGCCGACCUCUGCUCCAGUGGGACAGUGCUGAGGCACAUUCUCCAUGUUUCCUCAGAGUGUCCCCAACAAGAUGGAGACCCAGUCACCCAUAGCAGUAACCAGCACAAAUGCACACUUUAUCGGCUUUUUGCCCUUUCUUAGCUCUCUUUCCCCCUACUCCUUCACUUUUGUUUUCCGGGAUCACUUUCCGAGUAAACUGUUUGCACCAGAGAACUUCUCCUUUUGUAAAUAUAAACUAAGACAGAAUUCAAUCCUCCUUGGUAAUUAUUUUUCAUGUUUUAGUUAGAAGACUGCCCUAAUAUUUUACUUUGUGACACAUCACACAUAACAUGCAUAUAACCAAAACACACACGUAUAACCUAUCUCCAAAACAAAUGAUUUAUUAAAUAAUAUUUAUCUUUCCUGUCACUAAUAUACACUUGUAUUUUCUAUUCCAUUUUACUCUCUUAUAUUUCAUGGAAAAAAUAUUCUGGUCAUAAUAUUAAAUUGAUUUCAACACAGCCCUAGUGGUCCAUUUACCAGUUUUUGAACCAGAAUAGGUCAGCGAGUGGUCACAGGCCUAACUUGCACACACUUAGGGUCCACAAGGCUUCGAUUCAGAUUGCCUGGCUAAAGAAAUGCAGAUUGGGUAUCUGGGAGAUGUGGGCAGGAACUCUUAACCCUAAGGGCAGAAAUUCUUUGCCUCCAUCCUAAGAAGAACAAGGGGAGAUACGUGAGAGGAUGAAGGAAAGGGAAAAUUGCCUUUAAGUGAAGGAGGAAGACCAAGGAAGAGAUAAAACCCAGUGGAGUGUGAAACUGCCUAGAGCUACAAAUCAUCCCUUCAUUUUGCAUUGCAUAAAACUGCAUCCAUGUGUAAAAGCAACAAAUAAUAACAUUUGAGUGAACAUAAAUAAUCAGUUGAAUCCUUCCUGUAUUUAAAAUUGAUGUCUUCCAUUAGUUACCAUUUAUGUCAUCUUUAUAUCUUUACCCAUGAUUCCAGAUGACCUCCUCCUACUUAAUACCAUACAGUGUGGACUUUUCCUACCUCUCUGAUUACUGCUUUUGAUCUCUUUCUUUGGAUUCUCUUCUAGUAAUUGCUCUUAGCUGUUGGUAUUUUUCAGGGAUCCUUUCUCAACUUUAUGAGUUUCUUUCUUUUUUUUUUUUUUUCAUGCUACACACUUUCCUUAAUCAAUUUCACCCACUUCCGUGGUUUAAUGACCAUUUCUGUGCUCCUGGUCUACAAAAUAAAUACCUCCAGGCUGAAUCCUCUCCCCUUCCAGAUUUAUUUACCCAACUGCCUACUUAAUAUCUAGACCAAGUUUAAUACAUUCUCAAUUGAACCCUCAUCUGUAAUGCCCACCAAGUCUUCUUCUGAUCUCCCCUGUCCUGCAUUCUGUCUUUUCCACCAUUGGUACGAUCACCUAGACCAGAAAUCUGGAGCCUGCCUAAACUCCUUUUAUUUCUCUUCUCCAUCCAAAUGGUCAUAUGUCCUAAAUAUUUUUAAAGUUAUUCUCCUCCUGUGUUUCUGUUGAUAUUUUCCUGGUUUUGAGCAUCAUCUUUCUUUUGUAUUAUUGAAAUAAUCCAUCUCUUGAUAUCCCUGCCCUCAGUCUCUCCCCAUUCAAUUGUUUCUUCAUAAAGCCACCAGGGUCAUCUUCUAAAAUGCCCCAGUCAGGGUUCGGAUCAGGGAAACUGAAACUGCAUGAAGCAUUUUGAGCAGGCAUAGAUUUAAUGCUGCCAAAUCAUGCUUAUAAAAUAUUGGGAAAGUUGUAGGACUGUAGGUCAGAGAAGGUUGUUGAUGGCUCUGAAGCCAGUAGGUCUACAAUGUGGUAGUAAACUUUCUCAGGGAAGAGGAAGCAGCUAUUGUUGCCCUGGUUAAGAACUUCAGAAUACCGUUCAGAAUGGUAACGUUCGUAACUGUCUAUGACACCACAGUGGGUACUUCACAUACAGCAGGAUGCUAAUAACAACCUAAUGUUUGUGGAAGCUCAAACAUUUGCCUACCACUAUUGGAGGAGUAAUGGUGGCCUUUGAUUUCCUUCUACCUUCUGAAAGCCUAUCAGGAUGCUGAAUUGGUGGACUUUAAACUGGAAUACUGCUGACAAGAGAUCUGGGAAAUGUUUCCCCAGAUUUCCAACUCCUAUGGUACAGGAGAGAGCAUAGGAGUUGGAAUAGCUUUGAGGACCACAGGCAGGAGCCCUCUUCACUGCCCGAGCCCACAGCAUCUGCAAAAUCCUCCCUCUCUGACUUGACACAUGGUCCUAAGGGCUUGUUGGCCUGAGUCCGAAGCAGCUGCCAGAUUGCUUCGACUCAGACACCACCAAUCUGGGCCUCAUCUUGUCUGCUGGAUUCCGUUGUUGCUCGCCUAUCUGCAAAGCGAGGAACUUUCAAGAAGGUCGGAGAAUUCCCUGACGGCACCUUUUGGAUUCCUUGCUCCUCUCUUGGAUGUGAAUAUGCUAAAAUUGAUUGCAUAAGCCUGGAUUUUUACAUUAUAAUUCUGUCCCUGCCUAACGUUUAUGCUGUAAUUAAUCUGAAAGCUCUUAAUUUUUCAUUGAUAGAUUUGAAUGAGCAUGCUGCUGUUGUCAGUACAAAAAGGGAAAAUGAGGUGUGUCAUGUGGGAACUAGAAAAUAAGGUUAACUUGUGACAGGAAAACUAAAAAAAAAAAAAAAAAAAUCCAACAUAGUGAAUGAGAUCAG